UACGUAGGGUCCGAGCGUUGUCCGGAAUUAUUGGGCGUAAAGGGCUCGUAGGCGGUUUGUCACGUCGGGAGUGAAAACUCAGGCUCAACCCUGAGCGUGCUUCCGAUACGGGCAGACUAGAGGUAUGCAGGGGAGAACGGAAUUCCUGGUGUAGCGGUGGAAUGCGCAGAUAAUCAGGAGGAACACCGGUGGCGAAGGCGGUCUCUGGGCAUUACCUGACGCUGAGGAGCGAAAGCAUGGGGAGCGAACAGG
rnacentral:rRNA from 1 species